GGCCUAAUGGCCCAAUGGCAAGGCGCUUGACUACGAUUCACAAAUUGGCAUCAAGAGAUUCCAGGUUGUAAGUUAAACUCACCCUGCUGGCGGUCG